rnacentral:rRNA from 1 species
CCUACGGUGGGGCUGCAGUGGGGAAUAUUGGACAAUGGGCGAAAGCCUGAUCCAGCCAUGCCGCGUGUGUGAAGAAGGCCUUCGGGUUGUAAAGCACUUUCAGUGGGGAAGAAAGCCUUGGGGCUAAUACCCUCGAGGAAGGACAUCACCCACAGAAGAAGCACCGGCUAACUCCGUGCCAGCAGCCGCGGUAAUACGGAGGGUGCGAGCGUUAAUCGGAAUUACUGGGCGUAAAGCGCGCGUAGGCGGUCUGAUAAGCCGGUUGUGAAAGCCCCGGGCUCAACCUGGGAACGGCAUCCGGAACUGUCAGGCUAGAGUGCAGGAGAGGAAGGUAGAAUUCCCGGUGUAGCAGUGAAAUGCGUAGAGAUCGGGAGGAAUACCAGUGGCGAAGGCGGCCUUCUGGACUGACACUGACGCUGAGGUGCGAAAGCGUGGGUAGCAAACAGGAUUAGAUACCCGAGUAGUC